UACGUAGGGCGCAAGCGUUGUCCGGAAUUAUUGGGCGUAAAGAGCUCGUAGGCGGCUUGUCACGUCGGAUGUGAAAGCCCGGGGCUUAACUCCGGGUCUGCAUUCGAUACUGGCUAGCUAGAGUGUGGUAGGGGAGAUCGGAAUUCCUGGUGUAGCGGUGAAAUGCGCAGAUAUCAGGAGGAACACCGGUGGCGAAGGCGGAUCUCUGGGCCAUUACUGACGCUGAGGAGCGAAAGCGUGGGGAGCGAACAGG
rnacentral:rRNA from 1 species